UACGUAGGGUGCGAGCGUUAAUCGGAAUUACUGGGCGUAAAGCGUGCGCAGGAGGCUUCGCAAGUCAGGCGUGAAAUCCCCGGGCUUAACCUGGGAAUGGCGUCUGAAACUACGGAGCUGGAGUGUGGCAGAGGGAGGUAGAAUUCCACGUGUAGCGGUGAAAUGCGUAGAUAUGUGGAGGAAUACCGAUGGCGAAGGCAGCCUCCUGGGCCAACACUGACGCUGAGGAGCGAAAGCCAGGGGAGCAAACGGG
rnacentral:rRNA from 1 species